rnacentral:rRNA from 1 species
CCACUCGUGAACUAUACCGUACCCCCCUGUGCAUCGCCCUCUGGGUGGCCUGGGCGGUCGUGCUCUCGGGCCGACCGGGCUCCAAUCCGCUCCGCGGUUGGGGUCGGCUAACUUUUCCACACACCCAAUCAAACCGUCUGUCUGAAGCUGACUCGAGCCGGCAUCGCCGAUCGAUUAACAAAGACAACUCUCAACAACGGAUAUCUUGGCUCUCGCAACGAUGAAGAACGCAGCGAAAUGCGAUACGUAGUGUGAAUUGCAGAAUUCCGUGAAUCAUCGAAUCUUUGAACGCAUAUUGCGCUCGAGGCUUCGGUCAAGACCAUGUCUGGCUCAGCGUCGGCGUCACCCCCUCGCUCACCCUCUCCCGGGUGGAGAUGGGCAGGCGGAUCUGGCCGUCCUCAGUACCCCUUGAGAGAACAGGCUCGGCUGAAGAACAGGAGGCUUGGAGCAUCGGGCCCGCUGAUAGGGCAGCCAGCUUGGUAGGUAGCUUACGCUGCAUGCCGGCUGACUCCCCUAGGGACCUGUGCUGUAAGCACGGCAGGAAUCGGAGCGCAAGCUCCGAACUUCUAACUUUCGACCUGAGCUCAGGCAAGACUACCCGCUGAACUUAAGCAUAUCA